rnacentral:rRNA from 1 species
GACGAACGCUGGCGGCGUGCUUAACACAUGCAAGUCGAACGGAAAGGCCCUGCUUUUGUGGGGUGCUCGAGUGGCGAACGGGUGAGUAACACGUGAGUAACCUGCCCUUGACUUUGGGAUAACUUCAGGAAACUGGGGCUAAUACCGGAUAGGAGCUCCUGCUGCAUGGUGGGGGUUGGAAAGUGUCGGCGGUUGGGGAUGGACUCGCGGCUUAUCAGCUUGUUGGUGGGGUAGUGGCUUACCAAGGCUUUGACGGGUAGCCGGCCUGAGAGGGUGAACGGCCACAUUGGGACUGAGAGACGGCCCAGACUCCUACGGGAGGCAGCAGGGGGGAAUAUUGCACAAUGGGCGGAAGCCUGAUGCAGCAACGCCGCGUGCGGGAUGACGGCCUUCGGGUUGUAAACCGCUUUCGCCUGUGACGAAGCGUGAGUGACGGUAAUGGGUAAAGAAGCACCGGCUAACUACGUG